AUGCUACCUAAACAUCUGUGUUGACCAAUUUUAAUCAUCUCUGUAAUAAAAAAAAGAUUCGUAUGAGCCACCUUUACCUAAACACAGUAAAGAUUCGUAUUAUUCAUGCUACACAGUAAGAAUCCAUCUGGUAUUUGAUUUUUAGGUAACCUUAUUCUCUGUGUAUUAAUCUAAAGAGAAGCUGAAAAUUUUAUAACAAGAAAUUCAAUCUCUGUUAACCCUAAAAUUGUUGCUUUUGCUUUUAUACUGACCUCAGGUUUGAUUAGAGCUGCCUCUUCGUCUACCUAUUCUCCUUAACUGAUUGAAAUGAUUUUGCUAGAAGUCAGUCUGAGAUGGUUGAAAUAAUGAGUGGUUGAGAUGGUGAAUUUGGGUUUGUCUUGGACUGAGUUUUAGCACUGAGAGGAGAUAGAGAGUUUGGUGAAUUCAUGAACUACAGUCGCUGUUGAAGCUCAAGAUGAUGGAAGUAGAAGAACAGAAAGUCGGAAGAAACUGGGAUUUGAGAUUUGGGUUCAUUGAAGCUGAUAAAAUGGGUGGAUCUGAAAUGGAAUUGCAGUUGCAAGCGGAAUAUGGUGUUGUUGCUGAGUGUGUUUGGUUGGAUAGUGAAUGAGCUACAGGGACGAAGAGUUGCAGUCACUGUGGUGACUGAAGCUCAAGCAAUGGAAUAGCAGGAGCUGCUUUGUAGGGCAGGUAUGAAUGAGCUGAUGGGAGUGUGUAUGCAGAUAAGAAGGGAAUGACUGGAGUUGAAAUGAGCAGGUCAGAUGUUGGUGCUAUGAAAUGAUGCAGUAGCUUGAGAAAGUGUGCUGCGAAGAAUUCGAUGAUUGAGCUGACAUUGCAGAUCAUGGAUGGUGCUAUGUUAACGGAUUUGACAGAGGAAGAGUGUGUCGCUGGUGACUAUUGCAGGCUAGGAAAGAUGCAGCACAACUGAUGGUUGUUUACGGUGGAGGUUGAAAUGAUCGCAUGCGGGUUUGUUUCUGGUGGAGUUUUUGAAUUUAGAUGGAGGUGAAAUUGCAGGUUACAGUACAGCUGCAAAUGGUGAGUUAAAGUUGGUUCUGGUGUUGGCAGUCCUGGUGGUGCAAGAAGCAACUAUUGAGCUGAAGAUAGUGGAUUAGUGAUGUGUGAAGCUGAGGUGGUGUUGAAGCUAUGGUGAAACUGCAGACAAGGGUUUGAUGGUGGUCUGGUAUUGCAGUCUUGGACGCCUUGGACAUAGAGCUUACAACAACCAAAGAGGUAUACAUGGCAUAAAAUGAUGUGGAUGCUGCUGUGGUGGAUAGCUUGAAAAGGCAUAGUUUGAACCAAGUGAUGGAUGACGGAGCAUUAAUUAUUAUCCGCAGAACGAGCAAGCAAUAAUUGCUAUCAAGAUUAGUUUUCCUACUCAAUGACGAGUAACGGGGUAACGAACAGGAACAAUGCGUUAAGUGGGGUGUUAUAGAUCAGUUGCAUGCACUUCAGAAUGAAAAACCAUUAGCUCCUACUACUUCUAGAAGACGACAGGUGGAUGACGGAGCAAGCUUAUUAACAUCUGGUAGAAAGGGUAUGGUUAUGGUAAAAGCGAUUUUCUGUACUUCUAAUAACUUUUAUCAUUCCUUCGGAUUUCCCAUCUAAUAAUUAUUCUUCUUCGUUCUUUUUUCGUCUCUUUCCUGGCCAAAUACGAAAUGCAUACAAACCUAAACAACAUGAACCAAUUUGAUUGUUUUCGUUGAGAUUUCAUGGACUGACAGAUUGGAAGUAGUAAGGGUUUUUGUGUUGCUCACUCAGUUGUGAAAAUUCAUAGAAAGUUAACGUUUUGCAUGACACCACAGGUAAAAUCUUAUUGUUCUUUGUUGUUCAAUAUAACUUCUUUGGUAGGCUCAUUCAACUUCUUCUGCAAUUUUAUUUUUCCAGAAAACUGUAAAUUAACUUUGAUUGGUUUCUGCUUAUUAUUUUGCGGAUAUUUGGAUGAGCUUGGACCACUUUGAGAGAUCAACGACACAAUGGCUAGAGCAGGUACGUAGGAUCUCUAUAUAUAUAGAUCUCAUUAGAGUCACAAACUCAUAGUAAUUUACAUAUUUCUGAUCACUUCUUUCAUAAAAUCAAUAUCAAUUCAUAGAUUGGGACUCAUUCUGAUUUCUGCAUCGUACGUUGUUGCGGCGAUGUAUGUUUUUUGUCUAAUGUUGCAUCAUUUUAUACAUAUGGAUUGUUUAUGUGAUUGAUUCACUCACUUGGGUUGUUGUUCAUGUGUUUGUGAGUCAGGGUAGACAGGCUACCCUCUUUAUUCACAGUUUGGAUUAGGCUAGACUUUCACUCAAUGUUUGAAUGGUUGAUUUAGAUUCACUCGGGUUUAUAUCGAGCACUUAUUAAAAUUUAUUGGUUAAUCUAAACUUAAUUCAGUCGAUAUGUCUCGAAGCCCACCGGUGGUGGAUUAUUGCAGUGCACACUAGCAAGUUGAUGGCAUGGUUAAUUUAAAUUAUUUGGAUACGACUGAGAGUGUGGAGAAACUCAAGCACAAUGUGUGGACAUUUAUGAGCUAGUGGUAUUUGUGCCUGGGUUCAUACUGAUUUCCAAUUGAUAUUAACUAACGCAUCUAUAAUAUUUUGGGUUAAGAUUCUUUUUUAAACUAUUGAUUUAUCUAAUUUUGGGUUGCUUUUUCAGCUGUUUAUAUACUACCUUUCUUUACUCAUUUUUACUCUCAUAUAUGAAGUUCUGCAAUACUCAUACAACGCAGUUUUGUGUUUCAGGGAAGAAUUUAAUCAAUAGAUCUUGAUGCCCAACAACCGAGGCUGUGAAGAUACUGUAGUGAUAUUUGUAGCUUAUUUUGUAUGAUCAUUUAGGGUUGUCUUUUGUUAUUACUGUAGAUAUGUUUAUGAUCCUAUUGCAAGUCUUACUAUAUUCUUACAAAUAGCUUCUUCUAUAUGCUUACUGUAGUAAUCAGUUUUGCAAUGCAAACUUUAAUAGAAUGUAGGGUAUCCGUAUUUUGAUAUUUCUAUUUUUUAUUAUUAAUCUAAAUUGGUUUUAUCGUGAGAUGAAAUGAUAAAACAAUACUCCCUCCCUUACCUGAAUUGCAUAAAAGAAAUGGAAGAUACGUUGCUAACUGGUGGAGGGUGAUUUUUACUGAUUCUGAUUUUCACGGGGCUAAUGUAAUUCAGAUGUCUUGCAGGUGAAAUCCAAACCUCAAAGUUUCAAUAAAUGACAGGUAAAGAAGAACCCAUUAGUUCCAAUGUACAAUACAAAGAAAUGCCUUUCAGAAUGUAGACAACAGAUAUGGAGAGAGAGCAAUGGGACAACAAACAGAACAAGCUUCUAUAAUGGAGACCCUGUUCUAAUGAGAUUUUUUCUUUGAACAAUAAGAAAGAACCUUAUCAUUCUUGCGGAAUGAAGUCACAACGUCAAACUUUGCUCAAGUGGGUGUCAUGCAACUCAGAUAUGUGCACGAAUUGACAAAUUUAUUCUGCUUGAAUAUGAACACGUCAGUUCAUGUAUUCACGUCACCGACAUAUUUGUACCCAAGAUUUUCCUAUACAUAGCAUAGUCAUACCAAGAUUUUAACUCAACAGAGAUGCAAAGGUAUCCAAUUUCGGUCUCUUUCUUCUACAAGACACUUGAAGAACCCAAUCUUCAGUGUUUUGAGGCAUUGUAUAUAUGUGCCAGAGUUGUUAAGCUUGAAGUGACAAUUUUUAGGGCAUUAUUAUAAGUAUAUUUUGUGAAACUAAAUUAAGGUGAUAAGGCUGAUGUGUCCGUUUUAGGAAGUUGAUCCUAAUGUAGAAAAUGAUGAUUUGAUAUAUGUGGAGGAACAAAUAGCUUUUAUGUGAGUUUGAAAAUACCAUUCCUGGAAUUGAUGAAGCUAUGAGUUUAGCAGAGAUGCUCGAGUAAGUUCUCUCUUCUGAUAUUGUGGGUGUCAGGAACUACGUGUACAGUCUUAUACUCUCAGUUGGAUCUACUAAAGAGAUUUGUUGGUUCUGAAGAUCGUUAGGUUGAAUAGUUCUUUUGUCAAGUUAAUCAUGCUAAAUUCAAGAAAGGAGAGCAGAAAACUCACUGCACUGCUAUCACUUUCACUCUUUCGAUCUGCAUUUGGCUGUUUAAUAAGUAAUUAAGUAAAACAAAAACUAAAUUUGUGAACGAAAUGUUUUCCUUAAUUGGAUGUAUUCAAUGAAACCAUCAGAGCGAAGUGCCGAAACUCUUAGCUUAGUUGUUGCUUACACAUGGGUAUGUAUAGUUGUCCCUGAAAAAUGACUAUACAUUUAGUCUCUAUUAGGUGUACAAAUGGCCAUCAACAAGUCUGAAAUAGGAUCUAAAGAUAUUUAAUGUUUACGACCGACCACAUGCUCAAACUGCUUUAUAUUACUCAUCAUAUUAAAUCCCACUUAAAUGGGGAAAGGUAUCUGCUGUCUUAGUUCAAAUGGAAGAGCCAUGGUUCUCAACCAUGUAGUUGUGGGUUCGACUCCUACAGAUGGCAUUACUAUUUGGUGGAUCCAAUAAUCACUGUCUUCUACAAGUUAAUAGCAUCUUCAUAGCUUCAAAUUCUGGAAAAGCAUAUAUGGUUGCAUUCAUGCCAAGAUGUGCAGGGAGUUAAAUUAUUGACAUGCUACAGGUAUAUUGGUAUCAACUUAACCAAUUAGUUAUAACUUGGGAACCUUUAACGGCAGAAUUAGUAUUCCUCAAUGCUUGGAAGUAAGCACUCCGGGAUACUUCAGCCAAAUCUUCUACAUUUCUUCUUUUAGUGUGAAAAGUGUGCUAUGAGGCUCAUUUUCUUUGUUUACACCAUCCGCAGAAUCUGCUCAUAAUUGAUAUAUUUUGCAAAUUGAUCAAUUUACUUUUUCAUGAUUUGAUUGUUUUUCUAACUACAUAUAUAUCUGCGUCACUGUUAGAAACAUCUAAGAAUAUGCCUACAAAGCCAUGAUUUUUCUAAGCCUUCAAACCAUUAUACGAUGCCUGAAUUUCUUGGUUAUUUUAAAUGAGAAAUUAAGCUUAGCAACUUUGUUACCAUGGCUGCUAGGAGCCCAAAAGUUCAGGUAGGCGUUGCUGCAAGAGGUAUUCCAUUUCAAAACCAAUACAGUCCAUUCAUAGCAAAUAGUAAUGAAGUUCUUUUGUUUGUUUUUUAGUUUUGACACAAAAUAGUAACGAAGUUGAUACGUGCUUCCAGUGUAUUUGAAUUCCACUUUUUAAUAUUUAUGAUAACUUUUUUGGCAUAAAUAGUUUAGGUUGGCUGAAAAUCAAGGAUGUAAAUUUGCAUAUCAGAAAUUUCGUCUAACUGACAGCCUUUGCUAGAAAACGAGUACAAAAAGAUUGUGGAAAUUGAAGAAAAUUGCUUCCCCUGUUUGGAUUGUUGAACUAAUCAAACAAUGAUUCUCAAGGUUGAUUAACCGAGGUGAGCUCCUGGGCUAGCUUGCAUGCUCCAGGUGAGUAACAUUACAUUUUCCAGGUAUUUCCUGCUAAUGUCAUUUUGCGGGUUUGGAAUAGUGCUUGCUUUGAUAGCUCUCAGGAAAAAACUACCACAGAUGUUUACACCUUUAACCAAAAUAGCCGAAACUAUUGUGCAUUUGCACAAGCUGCGCACCUGAACUCCUCUUUUGAUACAAAAUAUAACAGUUGCGGCAUGAAAUAUAUUCAUGAUGGCAUAGUGGUAUGUACCACUAAGUAUGAAAUCAAACUGCUGUCUUAUCUCAACAGGUAGAGCACAUGAUUAUCAGACAGCCAUGUAAUUGUGGGUUCGACUCCUACAGAUGGCAUAGUAUAUUAAUGUUAUAUUAUAUAUCCCUGGAUACAUAAUGCAAGGUUAUUUACAGGUUGUUGGUUUCAUUCAUUUAGUUACGAAAAUCACAAGAUUUCGAUACAAAAAUAAGAUUUUUCUGCUAUCAUCUCCAUGAAUUUUCAACAAAAGUAAGAUUUUUCCAUGUGAAAUGAAGAUAAAGUUUCAAGGUAUUAAGAAGGUAUUGGGGAGUUUGAUUGAACAUUGUGGGGCUUAAAUUUAAAUUGCUAAUGUUUUCUAAAAUUUUAUUCGUUGUGUGAAAGAACAUAUAGGCAUUGUUCAGUAACUGAACCUGCACGAGCACCAGUAUUUCUGGAAUGCCAAAGACGGUUUGAUGUCGUCAAAUUUUUCUUCUCAUUACACCUCCGCCCAUACUUAAAGGUGACUGACAUGGAUGGAGUUCCAAAAGUCAAUUUAUAAAAACAAAACCCAUAGAAAAACAUGUGUUGUAUCUUAUACAAUGGGAAAUUGGAUUUCGAAAAUCAAUUGGACUAACUAGGAACCUAAAUUUAGAUGCAACUCACCCUUCUGAUAGUAUUCUGAAAUCCACUGUCUGAUGUUAAGAUUCAGCGGCCGGAGUCCGAUUAACUUAGUGAGAACUACCACCAGACCUGUUUUUAUAGUUUUCUUCACUGUCAAACUCAUGCAUGGAAAAUGUCACGCGUGCACUCAAAA